rnacentral:rRNA from 1 species
GAUGAACGCUAGCGGCAGGCUUAAUACAUGCAAGUCGUGGGGCAGCAGGGGUGUAGCAAUACAUCUGCUGGCGACCGGCAAACGGGUGCGUAACACGUACGCAACCUUCCCGUUACUGUGGCAUAGCCCAGGGAAACUUGGAUUAAUACCACAUAUUAUAUUGAGGAGGCAUCUCUUUGGUAUCAAAGCUUCGGCGGUAACGGAUGGGCGUGUGGUUUAUUAGGUAGUUGGCGGGGUAACGGCCCAACAAGCCUACGAUCAAUAGCUGAUGUGAGCGCAUGAUCAGCGACACGUGAACUGAGACACGGGACAGACUCCUACGGGAGGCAGCAGUAAGGAAUAUUUGGCAAUGGACGCAAGACUGACCCAGCCAUGCCGCGUGAAGGAUUAAGGUCCUCUGGAUUGUAAAUGUCUUUUCUCUGGGGCGAAAACCAGCUAUUCUUAGAUGUGUGACAGUACCAGAGGAAUAAGCACCGGCUAACUCCGUGCCAGCAGCCGCCGUAACAC